GGCGCGGUAGUUUCCAAAUGGAACGGUUAGGGGAGCUUCGGCUUCGCUAUGAUCCGGGUUCGAGUCCCGGCGCCGCGCCC
rnacentral:tRNA from 1 species